AGCAGCCGCGGUAAUUCCAGCUCCAAUAGCGUAUAUUAAAGUUGUUGCAGUUAAAAAGCUCGUAGUUGAAUUUCGGGAUUGACGUGACGGUCAUGCCUUAAGGGGUAUGAACUGUUACAGUUGAUUUCUCACCUUCUGGAGAAACUUGAUGUCCUUUAUUGGGUGUCUUGCGGAUCCAGGACCUUUACCUUGAAAAAAUUAGAGUGUUUAAAGCAGGCAUUUUUGCUCGAAUACAUUAGCAUGGAAUAAUAGAAUAGGACGGCAUGGUUCUAUUUUGUUGGUUUCUAGGAUCACCGUAAUGAUUAAUAGGGAUAGUUGGGGGCAUUAGUAUUCAAUUGUCAGAGGUGAAAUUCUUGGAUUUAUUGAAGACUAACUACUGCGAAAGCAUUUGCCAAGGAUGUUUUCAUUAAUCAAGAACGAAAGUUAGGGGAUCGGAGACGAUCAGAUACCGUCGUAGUCUUAACCAUAAACUAUGCCGACUAGGAAUCAGACGAUGUUAAUUUUUUAAUGACUCGUUUGG
rnacentral:rRNA from 1 species